CAGUCGUACCGACGAAAAUUCAACUUCUCGGGUGCCAAUCGUGGGUGACGUUGAGCCUCACGGUCUUCGUUGCUUGUGUUUGUUGGUGCCUUUGGGGUGUACUUUUUCGUAUGGUAGGUCAACAUCGAUUUUGAUCGUCAUAAAAUGAUCGGAGGAAUGUAGCUUUGAUUUCGAUCGAAGUGUUAUAGCCUUUGGUAGAUGUGACGAUUGGGAUCGAGGAUUGCAACGAAUACCCUUUUGGGCUAUCCGUCUGACCUCUGAAAGUCGCUUGGGAGUCGAAAGCGUGCUUAUGGUAUUAAGGUAUUACGGUCAAAAGGUUAGAACGGAUUACA
rnacentral:rRNA from 1 species